AGAGACAGGUGCUGCAUGGCUGUCGUCAGCUCGUGCCGUGAGAUGUUGGGUUAAGUCCCGUAACGAGCGCAACCCUUGUCCUUAGUUACCAGCACGUUAUGGUGGGCACUCUAAGGAGACUGCCGGUGACAAACCGGAGGAAGGUGGGGAUGACGUCAAGUCAUCAUGGCCCUUACGGCCUGGGCUACACACGUGCUACAAUGGUCGGUACAAAGGGUUGCCAAGCCGCGAGGUGGAGCUAAUCCCAUAAAACCGAUCGUAGUCCGGAUCGCAGUCUGCAACUCGACUGCGUGAAGUCGGAAUCGCUAGUAAUCGUGAAUCAGAAUGUCACGGUGAAUACGUUCCCGGGCCUU
rnacentral:rRNA from 1 species